rnacentral:lncRNA from 1 species
CGGGUUGGACUACUUCUAACUGCUCCAAAAAACCCGGACUGCUCUUGGGUCUAGGGUUUGCAUCUUUUCUGCCUGUCUGGCGGCGCUCGAGGUCGGUGGGGGUCUCCUCGCCGUGGAUGAGCCGCUACCGGACGAGUGUUUAAAGGCUACUUGCUCGGGAGCUCUGCAAGAGGGGUGUUGGCUCAAGGUUUGGCUGAUGGUUUAGACGGCGAGUUCCGAACGACGUCUUGGACUCGGAGAGCGUCUUUACACUGUAGGUCGCCCUUCAUCAACGAUGGAGGGGUAGCUAGACGGUGGAUCUGCAUUGAAUCGGGCAUCGUGGGAAGCUAGUCCUGGCUUGGGCACUACGUUGCCAUGGCGGCGCGGCUUGCAGCGAUGUGACGAAGUGUUUGCGGCGCGGGUUGCGGAGUUGGGAUGCAGCGAUAAGGGCGAAGCUGCACCGGAUCCGUGUGCAGUCAGGGAGCUGAGCUGAAAGUUGGGCUUGGGUCAAGCCAUCCUUGUCGGGCCUCGUGGGUCACUCCUCUCUAGGCUGCCUUUGGGCUUCUAAGGUGGGCUGGAGUGUUUGCCCUAAGCCCAUCCCUAUGUUUUUAGUUUUGUCUAAAUACAAUAAAUUUCUUAUAUUAGGAAAUUAAGUACCGAUGUGCACUCUAAGUAUCUCUAGCGCCUCUGGAGUAGUACCAAUGGAGGGUCUCCGCUACCUCUACGUAUUUGAAUGCAUAAUGAGUAAGACUAUUUUUACGUACUACUUGUGUGUAUUACCACUAUCUUCUUGUCUGUCUAUGACCUUAACUGACAGCAUAAAUGUAUGUAAUGGCCUAUUCUGACUUGUGAUGGAUAUAC